UUUGGCUAAUCCACAACCCAGAACACGUUUCAAUCCUAUCUGAUCUCAGAAGCUAAGCAGGGUUGGGACUGGCUGCUACUUAGAUGGGGAAUUCGCCAGCUAGGCCAGAC
rnacentral:rRNA from 14 species